rnacentral:rRNA from 1 species
UGCGUAGGCGGGCUAAUAAGUCAGUGGUGAAAUCUUUCGGCUCAACCGAGAAACUGCCAUUGAUACUGUUAGUCUUGAGUUCGGUUGAGGUAGGCGGAAUGUGUAAUGUAGCGGUGAAAUGCUUAGAUAUUACACAGAACACCAAUUGCGCAGGCAGCUUACUAGACCGACACUGACGCUGAGGCACGAAAGCGUGGGGAGCGAACAGGAUUAGAUACCCUGGUAGUCC